AUCACCAGUGUCUCAAUGUGAAUUCUAGUAACUCUAAUUAUCACUGACCCUGACCAACAUUUAUAUGGGAAGCACCCACUUCUCAUACUGACAUUUCAAAGAAUUAGGGGUACAGCUCACUAACCAACAUAUUUUCCCUGAGUCAAAGAUGAAUUCUUCCAAAAGAACUGGAAGACACUGUAUCCAUCAAUGCUUACUUAGCCCUACACUGACAUGUACUGAGGAGGGAAAGCCAUGGAAAAACUCAGCCAAAAGGUUUUCUACCGGGAGUUGAGUGUUAAUCACUGGUAUCAAAUAUGUGACACUUAUUCUCUCGGCUUUUAAGAAAUGUUCUCUGGUUAUCUGUAAAAGUAUAUUCUUUAACUAUGAAAUCAAACUCUGAAGUGUAAAAACAUUAUUAAAACAAUAUUGUCAUUUUCAUCAUUGUCAAAAGACAUGCCUAUAAUUCCAACUAACUGGUUGGAAUUAAUGUACAAAGUACAUGGAUUAAUUCCCUUCAGGAGCUUACAGCUUAAGACUAAUAUUUGGUGGUGACACAUAGGUAGGUAAAUGUAGAUGCAAAAUGCCCAAAUCAGGGAAUUAUGAGAAAAGUGAAAAAAUGGCAGCAAUAAUAUCAGUCACAGUAGCCUCUACAGCAGUAGUGAUGAUCUUGAUGACAGCAACUACCUUCAAGGAGUACAUUUUAUAUAUACUAUUGUACUGAUCCUCACAACCACUCUAUAAUGUAGUUACUUUUACCAUUACCUAUUUAUAAAUUACUAAAGUGAGGGCUGGGCCAGGCACAUAACUCUCUCAAGGUGACACGUUUUUCACUGGUGAACACUGAAUUUUAUUACAGUUAGGUAGAGAGUACAUGUAUUAAGGCAUAUUGUUAGAGUGGGAGACAAAGGUAAAUAUUUAUCAUUAGCCUUGAUUUUUAUUCAUUAUACAUACACUACUUUGCUCCAAAAAUGAUUUAAGGUGGUUCUUGGCACAAUCAUGAAUAAUAUUCUGGAUAAAUCUUCUCUGAUCAGUCUGGAAAGUGACUCACAAAAAUAAUACCCUUUCGAAAGUUGUUAUCGGCAAUCAUGUAGUAACAAGGUGGCAGAAUGAAUCAUUAAUUACAAUUUAAGUAAAUGCCAAUGUCAUGCCAAAUUUAUUCUAAAAUGACAAGCUCGUCCCAAGAUUCUGAACUACUAUAACAAUUCUGUGCUACUCAUUUGGUAUUCAAUUAGAUUGCCUUCCCAAUAUUUUUCCUGAACAUCCUGAGCACUAUAAACAACAGCUUGUGUAUAGCAGAUAUUAAUUCAUGAAUUUAGUUGAAGUGAAAUUCCCUGGGGCCGGGCGGGGUGGCUCACGCCUGUAAUCCCAGCACUUUGGGAGACCGAGGCGGGCAGAUCACCUGAGGUAAGGAGUUUGAGACCAGCCUGGCCAACAUGGUGAAAUCCCAUUUCUACUAAAAAUACAAAAAUUAGCUGUGCGUGGUGGCAGGUGCCUGUAAUCCCAGCUACUUGGGAGGCUGAGGCAGGAGAAUCGCUUGAACCCAGGAGACAGAGGUUGCAGUGAGCCAAGAUCACACCACUGCACUUCAGCCUGGGUGACAGAGUGAGAUGCUGUAUCCAAAAAAAAAAAAAAAAAAAAAAUCCUUGGGGCAGGUAAAUGACAAGCUUAGUAAAGAUAUAUAAAAGUUAAAAGUAUAUAUAUAUAAAAAGCGUGAGAUUAUGUGUAAUAUACCAAGCCAAGAUCAAGUCUUGCUCAUUUUAAUACUCCUCACAUAGAGUUUUGUGCAGAGUAGAGGGCUUAGUAAAUAUGUGCUCAGACAAGGAGAAUGAAACUAAAUUACAGAACAACAUUACACAUUAAACAAUAAGGUGCUGAUUUUGGACAUAUUCAAUAACAAAUUAUUAGUUAUGUGAAAAAGAAACCAGACCCAGAAAUUUUUAGUGGGAUUUUGACCGUGUUAUAAUGAAGAGUCGGGGUGUGGAUAAAUGGAAAAGUAGGACAGAGAUAUUUAAAUCGGAGGAAAAGGUAUGGCUUGAGAAAGAAACAUGAAGGAUGCACUGAAAAGAUCUCAAGGAAACAAAUCUGCCUUUUGGGAAAAAAACUUUAUUUCUUAGGAAAAGUGGGACAAAUGGGUAGAGAAGUGGUUCCAAAUUAUAAAAGGCUUCAAAUACUAGGUUGAAUAAACAUAACCUAAUACAAAAUUAUCAUGGGUUUUUAAAAUUCAGAAGUGGCACAAUAAAAGCAAUGUCUUAGGAGGAUUCAUUUGAGAUAGAUAUUCUUGUUAUAUGAUAUUAAUGUGCAGAAGGUUGAGUUUCAGAUGACCCAAAGUGAUAAAAUUACAUAAACCUAAAAAGCAGGCCAAAGAGUAGGGCAACUUUCAGCCUAGAAAUAUAAAUUGUGAUACUGAUUAAUUAAAUGGAUAGAUUUAUGGUCCUAGUUCUGGGUUUCACCAGCUAACUAUGAUAAAACAUGGUGGCAGUAGGCAGGAUAACUAGAGGUGAAAGCUGUUCAAUUAAAAAUGUCCUGGCGGGGCACGCUGGAACUACCUUUUUAUGUAAAAAUCAGGCACCAACAACCUUUCUAAAAUUUGUAGAUUAAGUACUCUAUAAAAUUUCUUCAGGGUCUAGGAGAGCAAAAUUCUCAAAAUGUUUAGG
rnacentral:lncRNA from 1 species